CCUACGGGAGGCAGCAGUGAGGAAUAUUGGUCAAUGGGCGGGAGCCUGAACCAGCCAAGCCGCGUGAGGGAAGAAGGCCCUGUGUAUCGUAAACUUCUUUUGUAAGGGAAUAAAACCGGGCACUUGUCCAUUUUUGCGUGUACCUUAUGAAUAAGCAUCGGCUAACUCCGUGCCAGCAGCCGCGGUAAUACGGAGGAUCCGAGCGUUAUCCGGAUUUAUUUGGUUUAAAGGGAGCGCAGGCGGGGCGUUAAGUCAGGCGUGAAAGGCUGGGGCCCAACCCCAGAAGUGCAAUUGAAACUGGGAGGCUGGAGUGCAGGUGAGGUAAGCGGAAUUCGGGGUGUAGCGGUGAAAUGCUUAGAUAUCACGAAGAACCCCGAUUGCGAAGGCAGCGUACCGAACUGUGACUGACGUUGAGGCUCGAAAGCGUGGGUAUCAAACAGGAUUAGAUACCCUAGUAGUC
rnacentral:rRNA from 1 species